UUUCGGCGAUGAUUGGUGUUCUCUUUAAUAAAUGGGUUUUUCGGGGUUGGGCUUUAGAAGAACAUUAUAAGGGGCUGGGGAGAGUUCUUUCGUCGUACUAUACAUGUGAUGCAUUGCCAGAGUUAUUACGCAUUGCACACCUGAAAAAUGUUUUUGUGACGGAUCGCUAUCAACUAUCACAGGGUUCUCUCCAUUGGUGUGUUAAUUUUACUUGAGAGGCCGAUGAUUGGGGAAGCGGCUCUUCUCAUUGUUUUUGAUCGGUUGGGUGGGAAGCAACAAUAGUUUCAAGUCUUCCCGUGAAUUUCUAGCACUUUUCCCCUCGGAAGUUAGGUGGAUCUGUUGUAGUUUGUGAUGUGAGUUGUACUAGGAGGGGAUGGUUCAAUGAAGAUAUGGAUGUCAUAGCCGGUGAAGCGUGUGGGGCAGGCCUUUCUUUUCCAAUCUGUUAUCUUGGACUCAACAGCAAGGCAUGUUAAAGUUGUUUAUGAUUUUGUGAACUAUCAAACCAUGCUGUGAAUUGUCCAGCAAAAGCAGCCUUGGUAUUCAGCUUAAAGCUAGAUAAUGGACACAAAUUACUUUUCCUGUUAUUGGCAGUAAGUUAAGGGCUCGGUUCUCUUAUGAUUCUAAAUGUAGAGAUCGUAUGUAUCCUAACCAUGAAGCUGAUUGAUCUGAUUCUCAGAAUAAGAAUCUGUUUUAGGAGAAAAAUGACCAAAUAGAACACACCUCUGGUGGAAAAAUUGUUCAGCAGGACUUGGGGCUGAAUGAGAGCAAAAAACAUGAUCGUGAACUGUGUGAUUCUACAGGCAAUGAGCAGUCAGCUUGUUUGAGCCAUGAUGUUAGUGAAAAAGAUGAGGUUCUUGGAAGAGAGAAUGACAAGAAGAUGUUGGAAGGAACAAUUUUCUCUGUGCAAGCAGGAACUUCACCUGAAGUCGGUAUGCAUGAUUCUAAUGAAGAAAGUCUGAUUGAGUGCACACAAAAUGUUGUACAUAGUUCCUGUAAGAAUGGCAAGUGGCCUGAAAAUGUAGAUAAUGUUAGAUUUGAUACUUCAUCAAUAGAGGAUCGUUGUAGCCCUCAGAUUAGAGACCCUUCUUUUCUGGCACGAGAUGCCAAUUUCACAAGUAGGCAUGUUGAAAGUAGCAAAGAUGACCCAUCAAUGAUGGUUAAAUGUGGCAACUGCAGUUUGCAAUAGGUUUCAGGAACAGAUAUGCAAAACAAAGAGGUUUCUUUAUCUACCGAUAACAUGCAGAUUUCUAAAAGCAAAGAAUUCUGGACCUGUCUUACAGGUUUGUACAGGUGGAUAUCCCAUUACUUCAGUCAGGAGGCUCUUCAUAUCUCCAUCUGCGAAAAGAACGAAGAUGACUCACCUAUGAAGCCAAAGCACCCAGUAUUAGCCAAGCUGAUUUUGCUGUUGAUCAAUGGUCUAUAAAAUAAAGUGCGAUCUUCCAUUUUUACCAUUUUAUCUGGUAGAAUUCUUGUGAGCUUGAGAUGAUGAAAUUUUCCUGGCAUCCUGUGCAUUUUUAUAAAUUCUAAAUUUGUUGUAUUUAUAGCUAAAUAGUGUAGUAACCACAAAACUACUGCUUGAGAAUCUGAGCUUCAGCUUGUAGUACCCAAUUUGUGAGGCAACUGUUUAUGUUUCUCAGCAUCUUGCUAGGCAACUUUCAAUACUAAAAAAGACUCUAUUGAUGCUUUUGUAGGCAUACCAGUGACUUGUACUCUUCUACAUGGAAAUGUUCAGUUUUCUAGAAAAAUUUGAGAAAACAGAGACGGGUUAUGGGAACAGCCAAGAAAUUACUCUAUUAAGCCACAGUUUGUGACAACCACCUUUGAGUAAGGACGGUUGAAGCCUCUUUCAGCCACGACAGCCCUCUUAUCGCCUAUCAGCUUGGCCACCCUGUUCAAUACAGAAGUUAGAUGUAUUUUUGUGAUUGUGGAUUGAUAAUGGAAGGAGUUCAUGCUAGAACUAAGAGCAGAAAAUUGAGAAACCAUGUAUAUUUUAGAUCCAGCUAAGCUCUAUGGUACACCUGUUAUCCU